GACGAACGCUGGCGGCGUGCUUAACACAUGCAAGUCGAACGGAAAGGCCCUGCUUUUGUGGGGUGCUCGAGUGGCGAACGGGUGAGUAACACGUGAGUAACCUGCCCUCGACUUUGGGAUAACUUCAGGAAACUGGGGCUAAUACCGGAUAGGAGCUCCUGCUGCAUGGUGGGGGUUGGAAAGUUUCGGCGGUUGGGGAUGGACUCGCGGCUUAUCAGCUUGUUGGUGGGGUAGUGGCUUACCAAGGCUUUGACGGGUAGCCGGCCUGAGAGGGUGGCCGGCCACAUUGGGACUGAGAUACGGCCCAGACUCCUACGGGAGGCAGCAGUGGGGAAUAUUGCACAAUGGGCGGAAGCCUGAUGCAGCAACGCCGCGUGCGGGAUGACGGCCUUCGGGUUGUAAACCGCUUUCGCCUGUGACGAAGCGUGAGUGACGGUAAUGGGUAAAGAAGCACCGGCUAACUACGUG
rnacentral:rRNA from 1 species